rnacentral:lncRNA from 1 species
GUGCUGGGUGACAGAGCUGUUCUUCUAAACCAGUGGUUCUCAAACUUUAGUGUGCAUCAGAAUUGCCUGGAAGGCUCGAUAAAACAUAGAUUGCUGGGCCCCAAUCUCAGAUUUCUGAUCCUGUAGCUCUGGAGUGAGAUGUGAGAAUCUGCAUUCUAAGUUCCUAGGCAUCACUGAUGUUGGUGAUCUGGGGACCACUGCUUUAAAUCAUCCUCUUUCCAUAGGUCACAGAUCUGUAGACUCAUAGCAUGUCAGCGGAAAGGGGUCAUGGUAACCAGCUUCAGACCAGUCAUGCGUACAUGAGGAAACAGACAAAGUCAGACAUCGGGUGGGAGAUCCUGCCUGUUCAUCCAGAGGCUGUGUGCAUCUGUGCUCCCAUAUGCACUGGGCUCCUCCAUGACUCCAAAAGUUGGGCCUUGAAAUGGGCUGAAGUCAUCCCAAGAUGGUAGUACUACCUGACUUAUGAGCAAACCAUAUUUAAAUCCUGUCCAGAGGUAAACAUUCUUAACCUAGGGCUUCAGGAUUCCCAUAGAUUAAGAUCAAGUAAAAUAAAUCAUAAGAAAGCAAGCAACCAAGAGUGACUCAACCAAACAAACAAGCAAUAGAUUUAGAACCUC